rnacentral:rRNA from 1 species
UACGGAGGGUGCAAGCGUUGCUCGGAAUUACUGGGCGUAAAGCGCGUGUAGGCGGUCUCGUGUGUCUGGCGUGAAAGCCCCGGGCUCACCCCGGGAAGUGCGUUGGAAACUGCGAGACUAGAGUUCCGGAGAGGAAGGUGGAAUUCCAGGUGUAGCGGUGAGAUGCGUAGAUAUCUGGAAGAACACCGGUGGCGAAGGCGGCCUUCUGGACGGUGACUGACGCUGAGACGCUAAAGCUUGGGGAGCACACAGG